GGGCCAGUGGCAUGAUGGGUAAUGUGUCUGACUUCGGAUUGGAAGGUUCCAGGUUCAACCUCUGGCUGGCUGG
rnacentral:tRNA from 1 species